rnacentral:rRNA from 1 species
UAGGGAAUUUUCGUCAAUGGGGGAGCCCUGAACGAACAAUGCCGCGUGUGUGAAGAAGGUCUUCGGAUCGUAAAGCACUGUUGUAAGUGAAGAAUGCCAUAUAGAGGAAAUGCUAUGUGGGUGACGGUAGCUUACCAGAAAGCCACGGCUAACUACGUGCCAGCAGCCGCGGUAAUACGUAGGUGGCAAGCGUUAUCCGGAAUCAUUGGGCGUAAAGGGUGCGUAGGUGGCACGAUAAGUCUGAAGUAAAAGGCAACAGCUCAACUGUUGUAUGCUUUGGAAACUGUCGAGCUAGAGUGCAGAAGAGGGCGAUGGAAUUCCAUGUGUAGCGGUAAAAUUGCGUAGAUAUAUGGAGGAACACCAGUGGCGAAGGCGGUCGCCUGGUCUGUAACUGACACUGAUGCACGAAAGCGUGGGGAGCAAAUAGGAUUAGAUACC